UACGGAGGAUGCAAGCGUUAUCCGGACUUAUUGGGCGUAAAGCGUCUGUAGGUGGCACUUCAAGUCUGCUGUUAAAUACUAGGGCUUAACCCUGGAGCGGCAGUGGAAACUGAAGAGCUAGAGUUCGGUAGGGGUAGAGGGAAGUCCCAGUGUAGCGUUGAAAUGCGUAGAGAUUGGGAAGAACACCGGUGGCGAAAGCGCUCUGCUAGGCCUAAACUGACACUCAUGGACGAAAGCUAGGGGAGCGAAUGGG
rnacentral:rRNA from 1 species